UCUGCAAGCCAGCUUUGUACAGAAUUUAUAGUGUAUAUCUUCUUAUUUCAAUUAGAGAGUACCUGAAAAGUUCAUAACUUGCAUGUUUAAUUAAUUCUUUAAAACUCAAAUUCACAAUAUAUGGUCUGAUAAGGGUUUUUUCCUUUAAGAGGCUACUGUCUGAGAAUGAACAUCUCUCUACCGGCUCCUGUGACCUAUAUGUGGACAGAGGGGGCACAGCAUUCCUUAUCUGCAGGGUGGUAACACCGCUCUCCUAGAGUUGCACGCA
rnacentral:lncRNA from 1 species